rnacentral:tRNA from 1 species
CAAGAAAUAGUUUAAUUUAGAGCUCUGGCUUUGGGAGCCAGGGGUGGGGGUUAGACUCCUCCUUUCUUGAG